GAAAAGAGGAGUCAGCCACAUGGGGCUGCUUCAAUGGCAAAGACUGGGUCGCCUGACAGGAAGAAGUAUCACAUGUUUUCCAAUGGAAGAUCAAAAGGAAAAAUGAAAGUUAGAAGCUUGGAAAAACAGACUUUCUAUAGAUUGUCACAAUGUGACUCAGACUGAGUGACUCUGACACAGUUCCCUGAUAAUGCACCUGGGAAAGCAGUAGAAGAUGGCCCAAGACCUUGUGCCCCUGCACUCACAUGGGAGACCCAGAAGAAGC